rnacentral:misc_RNA from 1 species
AGCAGCCGCGGUAAUUCCAGCUCCAAUAGCGUAUAUUAAAGUUGUUGCAGUUAAAAAGCUCGUAGUUGAACUUCGGGGUUUACUCAUUGGUCAGGCUUAAUUGUCUGUACUGGUGAGAUGAAUCUCUACCUUCUGAGGAACUUUCAUGCCAUUUAUUUGGUGUGAUUGGAAAUCAGGACUGUUACUUUGAAAAAUUGAGUGUUUAAAGCAGGCUAACGUCUGAAUACAUUAGCAUGGAAUAAUGAAAUAGGACGGAUUGAUUCUAUUUCGUUGGUUUCUAGGGUCACCGUAAUGAUUAAUAGGGAUAGUUGGGGGCAUUAGUAUUCAAUUGUCAGAGGUGAAAUUCUUGGAUUUAUUGAAGACUAACUACUGCGAAAGCAUUUGCCAAGGAUGUUUUCAUUAAUCAAGAACGAAGGUUAGGGGAUCGAAGACGAUCAGAUACCGUCGUAGUCUUAACCAUAAACCUAUGCCGACUAGGGAUCGGACGAAGUUAAUUAAGUAAUGACGCGUUCGGCACCUU